GAAAGCAUGGGGAGCGAACAGGAUUAGCUACCCUGGUAGUCGAUGCCGUAAACGAUGAGUGUUCGCCCUUGGUCUACGCGGAUCAGGGGCCCAGCUAACGCGUGAAACACUC
rnacentral:rRNA from 11 species